rnacentral:misc_RNA from 1 species
AACGCACCUUGCGCUAGCUGGAAUUCCGGCUAGCAUGCCUGUUUGAGUAUCGAAUCCAACUCACCUAGUGUGGAUAUGGGCCCUGUAAAUUUAUUUACUGGUCUGGAAAAUAUGAGUGCUACCCAAAGUGCUAAUAGGAAUAAAUAUUCUAUUAAAUCUUUGAUAAACACACACCUUUAACUCACGAUCUCAAAUCAAGCAAGAUGACCCGCUGAACUUAA